CAGUCGCCGCGGUAAUACGAAGGGGGCUAGCGUUGCUCGGAAUGACUGGGCGUAAAGGGCGCGUAGGUGGUGGUUUAAGUCCGUUGUGAAAGCCCUGGGCUCAACCUGGGAAUUGCAGUGGAUACUGGAUCACUAGAGUGUGGUAGAGGAUAGUGGAAUUUCCGGUGUAGCAGUGAAAUGCGUAGAGAUCGGAAGGAACAUCUGUGGCGAAGGCGACUAUCUGGGCCAACACUGACACUGAGGCACGAAAGCGUGGGGAGCAAACAGGAUUAGAUACCCCUGUAGUCCCUGUCUCUUAUAC
rnacentral:rRNA from 1 species